GUAGGCGGUCUUGUAAGCAGGGCAUGAAAUAGUGUGGCUCAACCAUACUGCUAUGUUCUGAACUGCAAAACUAGAGGAUGAGAGAGGUUAUUGGAAUUCCCAGUGUAGGAGUGAAAUCCGUAGAUAUUGGGAGGAACACCGAUGGCGUAGGCAGAUAACUGGCUCAUUCCUGACGCUCAGGCACGAAAGCGUGGGUAGCAAACGGGAUUAGAUACCCCGGUAGCCCACGCCGUAAACUAUGGAUGCUAGCUGUACACCGUAUCGACCCGGUGUGUAGCGAAGCUAACGCGUUAAGCAUCCCGCCUGUGGAGUACGAGAGCAAGCUUAAAACAUAAAGGAAUUGACGGGGACCCGCACAAGCGGUGGAGCGUGUUGUUUAAUUCGAUGGUAAGCGAAGAACCUUACCCAGGCUUGAAAUCCUGCGAAGCACUGCGAAAGCAGAGUGUGCCUUCGGGAGCGCAGUGACAGGUGGUGCAUGGCCGUCGUCAGCUCGUGUCGUGAGAUGUUGGGUUAAGUCCCGCAACGAGCGCAACCCUUGUGUCCAGUUGAAUUUUUCUGGACAGACUGCCCUGGUAACAGGGAGGAAGGAGGGGAUGAUGUCAGGUCAGUAUUACCCUUAUGCCUGGGGCUACAAACACGCUACAAUGGCCGGUACAAAGGGCAGCCAAGUCGCAAGACGGAGCAAAUCCCAUCAAAACCGGUCUCAGUUCGGAUAGCAGGCUGAAACUCGCCUGCUUGAAGCUGGAAUCGCUAGUAAUGGUAGGUCAGCACACUACCGUGAAUACGUUCCCGGGUCUUGUACACACCGCCCGUCAAACCAUGAAAGUGGCCAACACCCGAAGUCCGACUUGUCGGCCUAAGGUGGGGGACAUAAUUGGGGUU
rnacentral:rRNA from 1 species